GAUGAACGCUGGCGGCGUGCCUAAUACAUGCAAGUCGAGCGAAUGGAUUAAGAGCUUGCUCUUAUGAAGUUAGCGGCGGACGGGUGAGUAACACGUGGGUAACCUGCCCAUAAGACUGGGAUAACUCCGGGAAACCGGGGCUAAUACCGGAUAACAUUUUGAACCGCAUGGUUCGAAAUUGAAAGGCGGCUUCGGCCGUCACUUAUGGAUGGACCCGCGUCGCAUUAGCUAGUUGGUGAGGUAACGGCUCACCAAGGCAACGAUGCGUAGCCGACCUGGGAGGGGGACCGGCCCCACGGGGACGGAGAAACGGCCCAGACUCCUACGGGAGGCAGCAGUAGGGAAUCUUCCGCAAUGGACGAAAGUCUGACGGAGCAACGCCGCGUGAGUGAUGAAGGCUUUCGGGUCGUAAAACUCUGUUGUUAGGGAAGAACAAGUGCUAGUUGAAUAAGCUGGCACCUUGACGGUACCUAACCAGAAAGCCACGGCUAACUACGUGCCAGCCGCCGCCGUAA
rnacentral:rRNA from 1 species